rnacentral:rRNA from 1 species
GACGGAGGAUGCAAGCGUUAUCCGGAAUUAUUGGGCGUAAAGCGUCCGCAGGUGGACAUACAAGUCUGCUGUCAAAGUGCAGAGCUUAACUCUGUAAAGGCGGUGGAAACUGUAGGUCUUGAGUAUGGUAGGGGUAGAGGGAAUUCCCGGUGUAGCGGUGAAAUGCGUAGAUAUCGGGAAGAACACCAGUGGCGAAGGCGGCCUGCUGGGCAGUUACUGACACUGAGGCGCGACAGCGUGGGGAGCAAACAGG